rnacentral:rRNA from 1 species
AUUGAACGCUGGCGGCAGGCUUAACACAUGCAAGUCGAGCGGAGACUUCGGUCUUAGCGGCGAACGGGUGAGUAAUACCUAGGAAUCUGCCUAUUAGUGGGGGAUAACGAAUCGAAAGGUUCGCUAAUACCGCAUACGUCCUACGGGAGAAAGGGGGGAGUCUUCGGACCUCUCGCUAAUAGAUGAGCCUAGGCCGGAUUAGCUAGUUGGUAGGGUAAAGGCCUACCAAGGCGACGAUCUGUAGCUGGUCUGAGAGGAUGGCCAGCCACACUGGAACUGAGACGCGGUCCAGACUCCUACGGGAGGCAGCAGUGGGGAAUAUUGGACAAUGGGGGCGAACCCUGAUCCAGCCAUGCCGCGUGUGUGAAGAAGGCCUCGGUUGUAAGACGACUUAAGUACGAGGAGGAAGG